rnacentral:lncRNA from 1 species
ACGGUUGACAUGAAGAAAACACGCGAGUGUAUCAGUGAGGCUGCUGAGUCGCAAUGUAACUGAUUUGGUUGAGAAGUGUAUAAGAAGUAAUGGGAAGUCAUUAGUCACGAGUUUUUGCAGCAUGCAGUUUAAAAAUUCAAGUAUCGAAAUGUGUGGUUUAUAGGCCUUCCGCUGAUGCCUUAUUCAAAGUAUAUACUCGUCGUUUCGUGAAGUUCACAAGACAAAGAGAUGUUAGAUAAUUUUUUUUUGAGAGAUUUUUAAAUAUUCGUAU